rnacentral:rRNA from 1 species
GACGAACGCUGGCGGCGUGCUUAACACAUGCAAGUCGAACGGAAAGGCCCUGCUUUUGUGGGGUGCUCGAGUGGCGAACGGGUGAGUAACACGUGAGUAACCUGCCCUUGUCUUUGGGAUAACUUCAGGAAACUGGGGCUAAUACCGGAUAGGAGCUCCUGCUGCAUGGUGGGGGUUGGAUAGUUUCGGCGGUUGGGGAUGGACUCGCGGCUUAUCAGCUUGUUGGUGGGGUAGUGGCUUACCAAGGCUUUGACGGGUAGCCGGCGUGAGAGGGUGACCGGCCACAUUGGGACUGAGAUACGGCCCAGACUCCUACGGGAGGCAGCGGUGGGGAAUAUUGCACAAUGGGCGGAAGCCUGAUGCAGCAACGCCGCGUGCGGGAUGACGGCCUUCGGGUUGUAAACCGCUUUCGCCUGUGACGAAGCGUGAGUGACGGUAAUGGGUAAAGAAGCACCGGCUAACUACGUG